rnacentral:rRNA from 1 species
CUCAAAGAUUAAGCCAUGCAAGUGGUUAUAUUAACCCGACAGUUUAAAUAAGUGUUAAAUGCUACAUUAAACUUCCACACACAUCGAACCACGCACACACACACAUACCCCGAUGAUUUUGUUUACGGUAGUAACAAUUUCUCAGCGUGAAUCACGACACACACCGUGAGUCACUGAAAUUUACACAUUCAGUAUCACUUACGCAACUGCAGACAGCUGCUUAAUACAGUCACACUUGUCUUGACUUGGCGUCAUUAUUUCACACCCACUGCGUACAGGGACAUUUUUUACACGUAACUGUGUGUCUCGGCACAUCACCUCGCGUAUUUUUUGUUCCUCACAGUGACCGUGAAAUUACACACACACACACACACGAUUUCUCUGUAUCGCUUAUUCUUCAAAGGACAUUGCGUUACACCGUGACAAUUUUUCUUUUAUGGAUAACUCAGGGAAAGUUUGGCUAAUACGUACGAGUAUUUUUACAAUACACACACGACGUCGACGAAUGUCUUACGACACACACACAUUUCUCACAGACACUCCUCUCGACACUCUACACUACUCAGCACUCAGUGGUAAACUUUGGCUGCGUUCGCGCAGUCAGUUUAAAGUUUAACUGCAACAUGAGAGACAUUGAGCACGCACGUGUCGUUCCCUCGGGAGCUUCACAUCACGCUGAGCAGACUUUGCGAAGUUUUACUUUGCGAAGCAUGUCAUACAAGCAUCUACAGCAUCAAGUCACAGGGUUGGCAAGUGUAUUUUUGAACCUUCAAAGCAGUCACGCAUACGGAAGAGUAGUUUCUGAUCCCAUAGAAGGAGCACCGUACAAUGAGAGACCGCUCUUAGUUCUAAGGAACGCAGCAGGCGCGUAAAUUGCCCAAUGCUAGUACCCUACAAUCUAUAUCUCUAUAUAUCAAUUGUUAUUACAAUGCGUUACAACAAUUUACAACUUAUACAAGUUUGAUUACACACAUAUAGCACUUCUAUUUUAYUCUGUCAACACAGAGAACACAUACAUCCUUGUUCGUUGUUUAUUCAGCAUUUUAGAACAUUUCAUCGAUCUAUAUCGGUAUUUUUCUAUUUACUGAGGCAGUGACAAGCUGUAACGGUUGAGUAUAAAAAUGACGAGUGUCUGGCAUUGCCGCUCUUUCGGGAGCUUGGCAAGUUGCCGACGCUUUGUGUGCUCAAUUGGAAUGCGGUGAGUUUAAGCAACUCAGAACCUUUGGACGGUGUUAGUAAAAUUUCACUGUUCGUGUAUCUGAAUUUCAAGUGGAGGGCAAGUCUGGUGCCAGCAGCCGCGGUAAUACCAGCUCCACUGGCCUAUACAAUCAUUGUUGCGGUUAAGAGGCUCGUAGUUGGAUUGAACUGCAAUCUUAUUCUUGAAUGAAUAUAUUGCGCUAUAGUUUUUAUCGCACACACACACAUACUCUGUGUCGUGUGCUGCGUUCGACGCUGUUAACUUCUCAGGUUUUCACGACGGCACCGUGCAUAUAUAUUCUCACACACACACGGCGAUAUAUGCUCGGGACACGUAAUACUAUACCACUCACAAUUUAUUCUCCUUUUCAACACUGUGAACAAAUCAGAGUGUAUCAAACAUGUCGUUUUUGAAUGUGCAUUGAAUGUCUUAUCAUGGGAUGUUGCACUUUCACCAUUAGGAAAAAAUUGCAUUGCGCUAUUUUUCUCUACACACACACACUUAACGUACAUGUCUACUUUACGCACAGCCAUCUGUGAUAAAGCUGUUUUUUUUCUAACGGUUAAAAAUGUCGAUGGGGAUAGUUGGAGUCAACAGUACUGCUGGGCGAGAGGUGAAAUUCAUUGACCCUAGCAAGACUACCAAAAGCGAAAGCAGUUGGCUAGGCUAUACUCUUUGUGAUUAUAUGCCAUACCCACACAAUUUACACUGUGUAGCUCACACACACACACACUCGGCGGCACGUGUAAUUUUCUACGUAUCGGCACUAUAUACACUUUACAAUGAAGAACGAAGGUUGGGGGAUCAAAGAGGAUCAGAUACCCUCGUCGUCCCAUUAAUUACAUCAAACGAUGGGCUCUCAAUUGCAUUUUUCAUUAAAUUGCAAAUUUCCUCAGCCUACAAAAUGACUUGGCUGAGCUCGUAUUUUUAAUACGCUCGCCUAAUUUUUUUCGUAUGGUCUCGAUGGACGUUUCAUUUAAAAUUUUUUUGCGUGUAAGCAUUUGUUAUUCUUUGAAACAUAAGAAUGCAUUGCGUGCACUUGAUUUUCGGAGCUUUGCGCUCAAUUCUGGUGAGAUGUAAGCACUAUGUCAUACUGCCCGCAGCGUAUAUCUUCGGGUAUUUCGUCUGUCGUGUGCAGUUGACAAUUUUGGUGUGAAGCACGCUUUAGGCACGCGCUUACUGCAGAAAUGUCUGAGACAUUCCCUUCCGGGGGAAGUAUGUACGCAAGUAUGAAACUUGAAGGAAUUGACGGAAGGGCACCACAAGAACGCGUGGAGCAUGUGGCUUAAUUUGACUCAACGCGGGAAAUCUUACCGGGUCCGGACACACUGAGGAUUGACAGGCAAUAUUAAUUUCGCUCCGGCGAUUUUAUGUUAAAUAUGCUAGUCCUUUCAUGAUUAUGUGAUAGGUGGUGCAUGGCCGUUCUUAGUUCGUGGAGUGAUCUGUCUGCUUAAUUGCGUUUCACUAAGGGCCUAUAAUUUAACGUGUGUUGCGGCACUUUGACCCCUCUUCGCGGAGCGUGCGUCUUGGCUUGUUUAGCUCACACAAUUAGGUCCUGAAAGCAACGAACGUGACCGAACCUCUUGUUGCCUUUAUACCAAACACAGUCUGUUCCUUUCUCUCGAAAGGGCUGCCGUGAAAAAAGGCUUUUUAAACUAGAGGGACCGCUGUUACUUUCUUAAACCAGAGGAAGGUUGCGGCAAUAACAGGUCUGUGAUGCCCUUAGAUGUUCCGGGCUGCACACGUGCUACAAUGAUUAUUGCAGUGAGCAUCUCAUUUUUUACACACCGCAUUCACGAGUCCAUUUAUUCAUUCCUUCGGGUUUGCUUUAAAUGUGCAUCUCUGUGAGCGGUAAAGCCUGCUUCGAAAGUAAGUGGGUAAUCAAUUAGGAGUAAUGAUUUCCUUUUUUUUCAGCACACAUAUAUACGGCGUUUAUACCCGGGCUGUCCUUGUUGAUAGCUUUUGUGUGUAUAGAUGUUUUUUCCGUAUGUGCAAUUGUCAAUUCAUGGUGGGGACAGACCAUUGUUAAUUGUUGGUCUCGGUCUUAACUAGGAAUGCCUUGUACGGGUCUUUGGUUCAACAAACCACCCGGAAUACGUCCCUGCCCUUUGUACACACCGCCCGUCGCUCUUACCGAUGGACUUCUCUGUGAGUUUGAGGGACUGGGAACGCAGUGCUCUUUACUGAGCUUACUGCACACCCAUGGAAACUUAAACGAACAGUGUGGUCUAAAGGAAAGAGAAGUCGUAACAAGGCAUUGGUAGGUGAACCU